rnacentral:rRNA from 1 species
GUGGGGAAUCUUCAGCAAUGGACGAAAGUCUGACGGAGCAACGCCGCGUGAGUGAAGAAGGUUUUCGGAUCGUAAAGCUCUUUCGUUAGGGACGAACGUGCUCUUUGUGAAUAAUGAGGAGUAAUGACGGUACCUAAAUAAGAAGCCACGGCUAACUACGUGCCAGCAGCCGCGGUAAUACGUAGGUGGCAAGCGUUGUCCGGAAUUAUUGGGCGUAAAGCGCGCGCAGGCGGGAUAUCAAGUCUGUCUUAAAAGUGCGAGGCUCAACCUCGUGAGGGGACAGAAACUGGUAUUCUUGAGUGUCGGAGAGGAAAGUGGAAUUCCAAGUGUAGCGGUGAAAUGCGUAGAGAUUUGGAAGAACACCAGUGGCGAAGGCGACUUUCUGGACGAUGUCGGACGCUGAGGCGCGAAAGCUAGGGGAGCGAACGGGAUUAGAUACCCGUGUAGUCC